rnacentral:rRNA from 1 species
CUUGGUCAUUUAGAGGAAGUAAAAGUCGUAACAAGGUUUCCGUAGGUGAACCUGCGGAAGGAUCAUUACCUAGAGUUGUAGGCUUUGCCUGCUAUCUCUUACCCCAUGUCUUUUGAGUACCUUCGUUUCCUCGGCGGGUCCGCCCGCCGAUUGGACACAUUUAAACCCUUUGUAGUUGCAAUCAGCGUCUGAAAAACUUUAAUAGUUACAACUUUCAACAACGGAUCUCUUGGUUCUGGCAUCGAUGAAGAACGCAGCGAAAUGCGAUAAGUAGUGUGAAUUGCAGAAUUCAGUGAAUCAUCGAAUCUUUGAACGCACAUUGCGCCCCUUGGUAUUCCAUGGGGCAUGCCUGUUCGAGCGUCAUUUGUACCUUCAAGCUUUGCUUGGUGUUGGGUGUUUGUCUCGCCUCUGCGCGCAGACUCGCCUCAAAACAAUUGGCAGCCGGCGUAUUGAUUUCGGAGCGCAGUACAUCUCGCGCUUUGCACUCAUAACGACGACGUCCAAAAAGUACAUUUUUUACACUCUUGACCUCGGAUCAGGUAGGGAUACCCGCUGAACUUAAGCAUAUCAAUAAGCGGAGGA